ACCAUCCUAAGGUAGCGAAAUUCCUUGUCGGGUAAGUUCCGACCUGCACGAAUGGAGUAACGACUUCCCUACUGUCUCAACCAUGAACUCGGCGAAAUUGCAGUACGAGUAAAGAUGCUCGUUUCGCGCAGCAGGACGGAAAGACCCCGUGACCUUUACUAUAGUUUGGUAUUGGUGUUUGGUUUGGCUUGUGUAGGAUAGGUGGGAGACUGUGAAGCAUGGACGCUAGUUUGUGUGGAGUCGUUGUUGAAAUACCACUCUGGUCAAUCUGGAUGUCUAACUUCGGGCCAUGAUCUGGUUCAGGGACAGUGCCUGAUGGGUAGUUUAACUGGGGCGGUUGCCUCCUAAAGUGUAACGGAGGCGCCCAAAGGUUCCCUCAGCCUGGUUGGCAAUCAGGUGUUGAGUGUAAGUGCACAAGGGAGCUUGACUGUGAGACUGGCAGGUCGAGCAGGGACGAAAGUCGGGACUAGUGAUCCGGCGGUACGUUGUGGAACGGCCGUCGCUCAACGGAUAAAAGGUACCUCGGGGAUAACAGGCUGAUCUUGCCCAAGAGUCCAUAUCGACGGCAUGGUUUGGCACCUCGAUGUCGGCUCGUCGCAUCCUGGGGCUGGAGUCGGUCCCAAGGGUUGGGCUGUUCGCCCAUUAAAGCGGUACGCGAGCUGGGUUCAGAACGUCGUGAGACAGUUCGGUCCCUAUCCGCUGCGCGCGUUGGAAAUUUGAGAAAGGCUGUCCUUAGUACGAGAGGACCGGGACGGACGAACCUCUGGUAUGUCAGUUGUACCGCCAGGUGCAUGGCUGAUUGGCUACGUUCGGGAGGGAUAACCGCUGAAAGCAUCUAAGCGGGAAGCCUGUUUCGAGAUGAGAUUUCCUGGCACUUUUGGUGUGUGAGGCUCCUUAUAGAUGAUGAGGUUGAUAGGCCGGGUAUGGAAGCGGGGACUGAAGACUCGUGGAGUUGACUGGUACUAAUAGGCCGAAGGCUUACUUUU
rnacentral:rRNA from 1 species